rnacentral:rRNA from 1 species
GAUGAACGCUAGCUACAGGCUUAACACAUGCAAGUCGAGGGGCAGCAUGGUCUUAGCUUGCUAAGACUGAUGGCGACCGGCGCACGGGUGAGUAACACGUAUCCAACCUGCCGUCUACUCUUGGACAGCCUUCUGAAAGGAAGAUUAAUACAAGAUGGCAUCAUGAGUCCGCAUGUUCACAUGAUUAAAGGUAUUCCGGUAGACGAUGGGGAUGCGUUCCAUUAGAUAGUAGGCGGGGUAACGGCCCACCUAGUCUUCGAUGGAUAGGGGUUCUGAGAGGAAGGUCCCCCACAUUGGAACUGAGACACGGUCCAAACUCCUACGGGAGGCAGCAGUGAGGAAUAUUGGUCAAUGGGCGAGAGCCUGAACCAGCCAAGUAGCGUGAAGGAUGACUGCCCUAUGGGUUGUAAACUUCUUUUAUAAAGGAAUAAAGUCGGGUAUGCAUACCCGUUUGCAUGUACUUUAUGAAUAAGGAUCGGCUAACU